rnacentral:lncRNA from 13 species
AGUCUGUGAUGACCGUCCCCUGAGUCCCAGCAGGUGGGAGGUGAGUCUGUGGUGACCGUCCACUGGGUCCCAGGAGGUGGGAGGUGAGUCUGUGAUGACCGUCCCCUGAGUCCCAGGAGGUGGGAGGACGUGAGGGGACCAGGUGGGAAUCUCUGUGUCCUCUGUUUACUGGUGAGCCCCGAGCCUCCAGAACCUGCCUGAUGCCUCGUGAGCCCUCGUCAAUAUCUGUGGAUGAACUUCCGUGGAACAAACCCCUGCCUGGAUCGGGAAACACGACAUUCCAGAACCGAAGCAGCCCGCAGCCCCCUCCCCCUUCCAGGAAGAGCCACUGUCUCCGGCUGGACCCACAGGCGGCUCGCUGCUCUGCCCAGAGCUGUUCGGGCCUCGCACCCUCGCUCACUGUGCCCGCCCCAGGCCCACGGCCACGGCCCCCUCAUGGCUCCACCGUGGAGGGCAGGUGUCCCAUUUGCGCCCUGAGGAUGAAAGCUGCCAUGGACAUCUCACACCCAGAGAUCCUCGAGAUAAGUGCCCAUGAGGGGAAGUGCUGCCUGCUGAGGUGAGUGUGUGUCCAGCCGGUCACCCGGCCCUGCGCCCCACCCAUGCCCGGCGUCCAGCCUUUUUACCUUUUAGCCAGAGUGUCGGAGCCUUUUAAUUCUGGAUCUCUGGUGGCCAGGGAUGCUGGACCUCAUCUCCGGCUUUCGCUGGCCAUUGGCUGCCCUGAGGAAGGUCUGUCCACACGCGCUCUGCUACCACAUGCUGACUUCUUCCCAGGGAUUCUCAGGACUCUGAACAUGUUCCAGAAAGUUCUGUUCCUCAAAAAUCUGCCCCCACUCACAGCCU